AAACGGUGCCGUUUGUCCUCGCCGUGGUCCCAAACCAGCAGCUGAAAAGCCUGAAAAGACAAAGGAGUGAAAAAGCCGCAUGUCAAGAAGCGCAAGCGCAAGCCCAAACCCACCAAGCUCAGGGAGAGCAUAACAGCAGGGAACGGUGUUGAUUUUGUUGGCGGGGUUUAUGGGAAAGAGAGUUGUUUUCUUGAAGCAGCUUCCUUCUGGUUUGCUUUUGGUCACUGGUAAUAAAUGGUGUUGCCCCUAAUAAAAGAAGUCUGAACCAAUCUUAAGUUAAUGCAACCUCCACCAAAGUUGAUGUCUGAAAGGAAGAAAAAGAAUGGGGAGCCCGGAGGCUGAGAAAGAGCACCACAGUCAAAUGUGAAGGCAAAGGAAGCAAAAAAAAAAAAAAAAAAAUGAAGCGAUGAAUGUAGUUUAAAGAUCACGUUUCACUAUUACUUCAAAGAUUUAAGAUGAUGAUUGAACCUUCUAUUAGAAUAUUGUAGCAGAAAAAUGCCGCUACUGAUGCCUUUUUGAAGAACUUAAUUAAUAUUUGAGCAUUGUAAUUAUAAUAUCAUGAUUGCUUGAUCAUAAAUAUUAGAUUAAUUUCUAUAGAUGUGAUUUCAUUUAUGAUUAUUAUGUUAAGAUGUUAUGCUGUGUA